UGUUGUUUGAACAUCGGGUGUCGUUGC
rnacentral:sRNA from 1 species